rnacentral:rRNA from 1 species
AGGGUUUGAUUAUGGCUCAGAACGAACGCUGGCGGCAUGCCUAACACAUGCAAGUCGAACGCUAUUUAUAGAGUGGCGCACGGGUGAGUAACGCGUGGGAACCUGCCUUUUUCUGCGGGAUAACGGUUGGAAACGAUCGCUAUACCGCAUACGCCCUACGGGGGAAAGGUCCGCCGGAAAGAGGGGCCCGCGUCUGAUUAGCUUGUUGGUAGGGUAAUGGCCUACCAAGGCAACGAUCAGUAGCUGGUCUGAGAGGAUGAUCAGCCACACUGGGACUGAGACACGGCCCAGACUCCUACGGGAGGCAGCAGUGGGGAAUAUUGGACAAUGGGGGCAACCCUGAUCCAGCAAUGCCGCGUGUGUGAUGAAGGCCUUAGGGUUGUAAAGCACUUUCACUGGUGAAGAUGAUGACGGUAACCAGAGAAGAAGCCCCGGCUAACUUCGUGCCAGCAGCCGCGGUAAUACGAAGGGGGCGAGCGUUGUUCGGAAUUACUGGGCGUAAAGGGCGCGUAGGCGGUCUUUUAAGUUAGGCGUGAAAGCCCCGGGCUCAACCCGGGAACUGCGCUUAAUACUGGAAGACUAGAAAACGGAAGAGGGUAGUGGAAUUCCCAGUGUAGAGGUGAAAUUCGUAGAUAUUGGGAAGAACACCAGUGGCGAAAGCGGCUACCUGGUCCGAUUUUGACGCUGAGGCGCGAAAGCGUGGGGAGCAAACAGGAUCAGAUACCCUGGUAGUCCACGCCGUAAACGAUGUCUGCUAGAUGUCGGGGGGUUGCCCCUCGGUGUCGCCGCUAACGCAUUAAGCAGACCGCCUGGGAAGUACGGUCGCAAGAUUAAAACUCAAAGGAAUUGACGGGGGCCCGCACAAGCGGUGGAGGAUGUGGUUUAAUUCGAAGCAACGCGCAGAACCUUACCAGUCCUUGACAUGGGGAGUUUGGUUUCCGGAGACGGAUUCCUUCAGUUCGGCUGGCUCCCACACAGGUGCUGCAUGGCUGUCGUCAGCUCGUGUCGUGAGAUGUUGGGUUAAGUCCCGCAACGAGCGCAACCCUCAUCUUUAGUUGCCAUCAGUUAGGCUGGGCACUCUAGAGAAACUGCCUGCGAUGAGCAGGAGGAAGGCGGGGAUGACGUCAAGUCCUCAUGGCCCUUAUGGACUGGGCUACACACGUGCUACAAUGGCGGUGUCAGUGGGAAGCAAUAGGGCGACCUGGAGCAAAUCCCCAAAAGCCGUCCCAGUUCGGAUUGUACUCUGCAACUCGAAUGCAUGAAGUUGGAAUCGCUAGUAAUCGUGGAUCAGCAUGCCACGGUGAAUACGUUCCCGGGCCUUGUACACACCGCCCGUCACACCAUGGGAAUUGGUUCUACCCGAAUGCGGUGGGCUAGCCUGCUUGCAGGAGGCAGCCGACCACGGUAGGGUCAGUGACUGGGGUGAAGUCGUAACAAGGUAGCCA